rnacentral:rRNA from 1 species
AUGUCACAUUUCUCGGUUCAAGAUGCUUCAUUUUUUUUCUUUUCCGGAGUUCCAAGCUUUCUGCAUUAUCUCGUCGCGAAGCUCCAUCUAAAUCAUUGCAAGGCUUCACCUUGUGUUUUCAACUUUUCUUUCUUUUUUAUCAUCCUUUAUUACCGGAGUUCUUCAUGGAGGCUCUACAUGGUGGUUCGUCAAGGGUUCCUUUCAUUCUUCAAGUGUUCUUCAAGAAUUCUCUCGAAGCUAAGAUCCGCCAAGUUAUACUCUAAAAUAAACAUGGUGUUCAACACAUGUUUUGUCUUGAGGAGUUCAAGCAUUCUUCAUCUCGCAUUCCGAAGUACAAUUUGUUCUACCUUAUCAUUUGAGGUGGUGUUAUGUCAUUCUUAA